CCCGAAAGGGGACGACCAGUAUCCAAUCUGGAGCUAACACAGGUGCUGCAUGGCUGUCGUCAGCUCGUGCCGUGAGGUGUAUGGUUAAGUCCCACAACGAGCGCAACCCUCGUCGCUAGUUAAUUUCCCUAGCGAGACCGCCUCGCAAAACGAGGAGGAAGGCGGGGAUGGCGUCAAGUCAGCAUGGCCUUUAUACCCUGGGCGACACACACGCUACAAUGGGUGGUACAGUAGGUAGCGAAGGAGCGAUCCGGAGCAAAUCCUUAAAACCAUCCUCAGUACGGAUUGCAGGCUGAAACCCGCCUGCAUGAAGCCGGAGUUGCUAGUAACCGCAUAUCAGCAUGGUGCGGUGAAUACGUUCCCGGGUCUU
rnacentral:rRNA from 1 species